rnacentral:rRNA from 1 species
UACGUAGGGUGCAAGCGUUGUCCGGAAUUAUUGGGCGUAAAGAGCUCGUAGGCGGCUCGUCGCGUCGGCUGUGAAAACCUGGGGCUCAACCCCGGGCCUGCAGCCGAUACGGGCGAGCUAGAAUUCGGUAGGGGAGACUGGAAUUCCUGGUGUAGCGGUGAAAUGACGCAGAUAUCAGGAGGAACACCGAUGGCGAAGGCAGGUCUCUGGGCAUUAACUGACGCUGAGGAGCGAAAGCAUGGGGAGCGAACAGG